rnacentral:misc_RNA from 1 species
ACGUACAAUUUAAUCAAAUUGAAGGGUAGAAUCUUCUUCCGGAACACGAGGAAACUCAAUACUUUCCAAUGAGUAUAGAACCAAAUAAAACUGAAAGCGAAACUGACACCACCACCAGUGCCAGUGGCAGUGAACCUGAUUGUGGGGCAGUAUCAUCAGCAGUGCCACUGGACUGGUUUGAUGUCUUGGCUCACUCUGACUCUGAGCCCACUUCACCAUGCAUUUGGGUCACAGUCACUAUUUAGUGACACAGAUAGUGAUGCAACGCAGCCACCAUCUGAAUCAAAUUAUGAAUUAGAGCCAAUGACGCUUAGUCCUAUGUGUGGCGACUGUACCGUAAAGAGAAGACGUUUAGAUAAAGUUCCAGGCUACCCUGCAUGGUACAACAUUGUGUAUGAUGGCGAUAUUGCUGUCUAUACAUACCAAUUGCUGGAGGACUUGAAGAAUGGAAACUUAAAAAUUACUGUUUUGAAACAAUAAAAUUAUGUUUAAU